CAGCAGCCGCGGUAAUACGUAGGGUGCAAGCGUUAAUCGGAAUUACUGGGCGUAAAGCGUGCGUAGGCGGCUUCUUAAGUCGGAUGUGAAAACCCUGAGCUUAACUUAGGAAUUGCAUUCGAUACUGGGAAGCUAGAGUAUGGGAGAGGAUGGUAGAAUUCCAGGUGUAGCGGUGAAAUGCGUAGAGAUCUGGAGGAAUACCGAUGGCGAAGGCAGCCAUCUGGCCUAAUACUGACGCUGAGGUACGAAAGCAUGGGGAGCAAACAGGAUUAGAGACCCCUGUAGUCCCUGUCUCUUAUAC
rnacentral:rRNA from 1 species